GUCCUGACCAGGGAGACGUGCGAGGACAGAUGCUGGGGGGCUUCUAUUCUUUGAAAAAUUCCUCUCUUCUCCACUAGAUGCUGUUGUGUCUGUGUGUGUGGUGCCUGAAACUGGGGUGGCCAUCCUGCAACCCAGGGACCAGCCAAGGGCAAAGUUGAAAGUGGCCGCAUUGAUAUUUCAGUGUUCUGCUGCCGACAAAGCGGUUCUGGAAUCCGCAGUGAGUGGCCACUCGAGAGCCAGGACCGAGCCUCGCCGCUAGGGGGAGUUCAGCUCGUAGGACCGGAAGUGCAAUUUAAUUUCUCAAACCUGGAAACCACAGGUGAGUGUGCUGUCUCAGGCUGGGAGGAGGAGGAGAGGACCAGCCUGACUCUGGCUGAAGAAGGGGCGGCCUGGGACGAAGGUGGAUGGGGCAGUCAGAGGGCACUGAAGAGCACA
rnacentral:lncRNA from 1 species